rnacentral:rRNA from 1 species
AGUGAACGCUGGCGGUAGGCCUAACACAUGCAAGUCGAACGGCAGCACAGUAAGAGCUUGCUCUUACGGGUGGCGAGUGGCGGACGGGUGAGGAAUACAUCGGAAUCUACUUUUUCGUGGGGGAUAACGUAGGGAAACUUACGCUAAUACCGCAUACGACCUACGGGUGAAAGCAGGGGAUCUUCGGACCUUGCGCGAUUGAAUGAGCCGAUGUCGGAUUAGCUAGUUGGCGGGGUAAAGGCCCACCAAGGCGACGAUCCGUAGCUGGUCUGAGAGGAUGAUCAGCCACCCUGGAACUGAGACACGGUCCAGACUCCUACGGGAGGCAGCAGCGGGGAAUAUUGGACAAUGGGCGCAAGCCUGAUCCAGCCAUACCGCGUGGGUGAAGAAGGCCUUCGGGUUGUAAAGCCCUUUUGUUGGGAAAGAAAAGCAGCAGGUUAAUACCCCGCUGUUCUGACGGUACCCAAAGAAUAAGCACCGGCUAACUUCGUG